AGGACGAACGCUGGCGGCGUGCUUAACACAUGCAAGUCGAACGAUGAUCCGGUUUCGGCCGGGGAUUAGUGGCGAACGGGUGAGUAACACGUGGGCAACCUGCCCUCCACUCUGGGAUAACUCCGGGAAACCGGGGCUAAUACUGGAUAUGAUCUUCGGGCGCAUGCCUGGGGGGUGGAAAGUUUUUCGGUGGAGGAUGGGCCCGCGGCCUAUCAGCUUGUUGGUGGGGUGAUGGCCUACCAAGGCGGUGACGGGU
rnacentral:rRNA from 1 species